AUUCUUCUAGUAUUAACUAGUACAACUGACUUCCAAUCAGUUAGUCUCAGAAUAAAUCUGAGGAAGAAUA
rnacentral:tRNA from 1 species